rnacentral:rRNA from 1 species
UUCCAGACUCCUACGGGAGGCAGCAGUGAGGAAUAUUGGUCAAUGGCCGGAAGGCUGAACCAGCCAAGUCGCGUGAGGGAAUAAGGCCCUAUGGGUCGUAAACCUCUUUUGUCAGGGAGCAAAGGCGUCCACGUGUGGACGAGAGGAGAGUACCUGAAGAAAAAGCAUCGGCUAACUCCGUGCCAGCAGCCGCGGUAAUACGGAGGAUGCGAGCGUUAUCCGGAUUUAUUGGGUUUAAAGGGUGCGUAGGCGGAGUGUCAAGUCAGCGGUAAAAUUUCGGGGCUCAACCCCGUCGUGCCGUUGAAACUGACGCCCUUGAGUGAGUGAGAAGUAAGCGGAAUGCGUGGUGUAGCGGUGAAAUGCAUAGAUAUCACGAAGAACUCCGAUUGCGAAGGCAGCAUACGGCAGCGCUACUGACGCUGAAGCUCGAAGGCGCGGGUAUCGAACAGGAUUAGAUACCCUGGUAA